GCCUACGGCCAUACCGGACCGAACACCCCCCGAUCCCGUCCGAUCUCGGAAGGUAAACCGUCCCGGGCCUGGCUAGUACUUGGAUGGGUGACCGCCAGAGAAUCCCAGGUGCCGUAGGCA